GGUAAACGCUGGCGGCGUGCCUAAAACAUGCAAGUCGAACGGUGUCCUUCGGGCGACAGUGGCAGACGGCUGAGUAACGCGUGGGUGACGUACCUGCUUGUGGGGAAGUAACUGCCCGAAAGGGUGGCUAAUACCGCAUACGCCCGCUGAUUCGGUUUCAGUGGGGAAAGCUUCGCAAGGAGUGCAGAUGGAGCGGCCCGCGUCCGAUUAGCUGGUUGGUGGGGUAACGGCCUACCAAGGCGACGAUCGGUAGCUGGUCUCAGAGGAUGAUCAGCCAGACUGGGACUGAGACACGGCCCAGACUCCUACGGGAGGCAGCAGUGGGGAAUUGUUCGCAAUGGGCGCAAGCCUGACGACGCAACGCCGCGUGGAGGAUGAAGACCUCGGUCGUAACU
rnacentral:rRNA from 1 species